CGGACGGGUGAGUAACGCGUGGAUAACCUGCCUCACACUGGGGGAUAACAGUUAGAAAUGACUGCUAAUACCGCAUAAGCGCACAGUACCGCAUGGUACAGUGUGAAAAACUCCGGUGGUGUGAGAUGGAUCCGCGUCUGAUUAGCCAGUUGGCGGGGUAACGGCCCACCAAAGCGACGAUCAGUAGCCGACCUGAGAGGGUGACCGGCCACAUUGGGACUGAGACACGGCCCAA
rnacentral:rRNA from 1 species